GGGUGUCCGGCGAUGCCUGCCGGGCAGGGAAUUGGGGUAGCCGGGCCGCUGCCU
rnacentral:ncRNA from 12 species